rnacentral:lncRNA from 1 species
GUGUGGUUGGAGGGUAGAAAGUAGGGGAGACACGAGAAUGUAUGAAUGGAGAGAAAGAAAGCAGUUGAGUGCCAGCCUCAUGGGUCAUAUUGAAUUUACGGUUCAGCAGUAACAACUUCAUUAUCAUUAUCCAAGCCUGCUCUGUCUAUUCAUAUCAUUGUCACUCUGGAAAAUCCCAAGUCAUCGUCAAAAUCAAAGCUUUCUUGUUACAGCCUCUGAAGUAUUUCCUGACCCCAUUUGCUGAUGCUACCCACAACCCCUUCUGUGUUACCUCAGUACGAAAUGUGUGUACAACUGGACUCAGAGACAUCACUUGCCGACGGUGCAGAAUCAAGGUCUGACUCCACUUUGAGGCUGGGCGUGGCUGUUGGUGUCUGAAAUGUCCCAGAUUAUGUCUCCAUCCAAUAGUGUAAAUUUUUUUACACCAGAUUGUUUUAUCCUGAUUACUGAGUGAGGAUUGUAUUUGCUUCUUAUAAUAUUUAUUUCUCAUCAAUUUUUGAUAAAGCCUAAACACAACAUCUUAUCAUAUAAAAAUUAAGCAUCAAUAAUUAAAUACAAUCCUUUCUUUCUGAAGAAACUUUUUUGUUGGAUUAUUUUCGGGUCCUACUUAUGAACAAAUUCCUGUUAACUCAC